GGAAGUAAAAGUCGUAACAAGG
rnacentral:ncRNA from 3 species